UACUCGUGCGCACCACUCUGAGAUUCACACAGACAGCAGCAGGUUGCAGCAACACGUUUCUUUCUACUGACUGGACUGGAGUUGACAAAAAUCCACCAGACUUCUAGAAGGUAAGUCGUAUACGUUUGUUGCCUGUUAAGCCCCACAACACUUUAGGCUUUAGUGUGUUAGCUUUAGGUAGCAAAACACGGAGAUAUGCUUACCUUUAGCUGUUAUUCUGAUCAAAAUGUGUGUUCAAUGGCAUUAAAACGAGAAAAACCUGGAAAACAGGCUCGGGGCUCAGUAAAGGCUGGCUUGACUUCAGGUAUAAUUCCUCUGUAAACACACUUUGGCAGCUAUCCUAGUUAGCGUUUGUUUAGCUUGCUAAGCUAACGUUAGCUGAUGUCGGUAUGCUGGGCUGGUGUAAUGCGUAGGCUACUAUUAAUCACUGCUGUGUGUAAUGUCAAUUUGCAGAAAAUGAAGAGAAAGUCAACAGACAUCUCUUCUAAUUGUAAGAAGAAGAUGAGUAAAGGAGAGACCGAGCUGGCAGGGGAGCAGCAGCAUAGGGCUAGUGAGGAGAUGGCCAUACAUGCUAGAAAGUCUGCAGCUCCUUCAAAAUGAAACGAGAAUCUAUGCAGCUUUUCCUCUUCUGUGGUCUGAGGUUAUGAGCUGACCAUUAGUCAAGUUUGUUUUCAUAAUGUUCUGUAUGCUAAUU